CUACGGGCGGCACCAGUGGGGAAUAUUGGACAAUGGGGGAAACCCUGAUCCAGCAAUGCCGCGUGUGUGAAGAAGGCCUGCGGGUUGUAAAGCACUUUCGGUUGGGAGGACUGCUUCUAGCACUAAUAUUGUUGGAAGUUGACGUUACCUUCAGAAGAAGCACCGGCUAACUCCGUGCCAGCAGCCGCGGUAAUACGGAGGGUGCAGCGUUAAUCGGAAUUACUGGGCGUAAAGCGCGCGUAGGCGGCUAGAUCAGUCGGGUGUGAACGCCCCGGGCUUAACCUGGGAACUGCAUCCGAUACUGUCUAGCUUGAGUACAGGAGAGGAGAGUGGAAUUCCACAUGUAGCGGUGAAAUGCGUAGAUAUGUGGAGGAACACCAAUGGCGAAGGCAGCUCUCUGGCCUGAUACUGACGCUGAGGUGCGAAAGCGUGGGGAGCAAACAGGAUUAGAUACCCCCGUAGUC
rnacentral:rRNA from 1 species